AGAUCUUCUUAUGAUGGGUUGGGUAUCUCGUAUUUGUUUUGUUUCUUUGCUUCAGCUUUUAGUUAGUUAAGAUAUGGUUGAUCAUAUGAACAGACUUUCUCAAUGGAAUUCAAAGCUAGUUGUUGCGAUGAUUGUGAGAAUUCGACCAAGUACUACUACUCAGUGUGGGAUUUAAAGACUUGGGUCCCUGACACAAGAUGGGUUGGUUUAGUUGUCUACUCAACUUUGUGAGGUCCACACACCACACACUUGAUUUUAUUUUUGUGCAUGUAUUCCACAUAUAUCUUUUUUUCCUGUUUCCAUUUGUCACUUUGCCGUGAAAAUUAUGAAGCUAUUGUGUCGAAUAUCAAAGGAUAUCAAUGAGUGCAUAAAAUAUGUAAAUCAUUGGCUAACCUUAAUAUUUUAUUUUCUUAAUCAAAUAGAAGAAAUGGAGAAUGUCAAUGAUGAAGUGAGAUAAAAGUUCUCUAGGGUGUACAU
rnacentral:lncRNA from 1 species